AGGCGUAAAAUCGAAUACGGUGCAGAGCUUUCAGCGUCGUCUGAUUAAGGGGAAAGCAGGGUGAAAAUCCCACACAACCGCCAUUACCGUCAAAGUCGGAAUGCCCGCCAUGCAUCUUGUAAAUUGG
rnacentral:ncRNA from 18 species